rnacentral:rRNA from 1 species
GACGAACGCUGGCGGCGUGCUUAACACAUGCAAGUCGAACGGGCCCGCUCUCUUUUUUGGGGGUGGGUUGAGUGGCGAACGGGUGAGUAUCACGUGAGUAACCUGCCCCCUGCUCCUGGAUAACUGCUUGAAAGGGCGGCUAAUACGGGGUGUGCCGGCUGGUCCGCAUGGGCCUGGUCGGGAUAGUUUCAUCUUCGGGUGUUUCGGUGGGGGAUGGGCUCGCGGCCUAUCAGCUUGUUGGUGGGGUGAUGGCCCACCAAGGCGGUGACGGGUAGCCGGCCUGAGAGGGUGGGCGGCCACACUGGGACUGAGACACGGCCCAGACUCCUGCGGGAGGCAGCAGUGGGGGGUAUUGCACAAUGGGCGGAAGCCUGAUGCAGCGACGUCGCGUGAGGGAUGGAGGCCUUCGGGGUGUGAACCUCUUUCUCCGGUGGUGAAGGCCCUGUCCGUUGCGGCGGGGUUGACGGUAGCCGGGUAUGAAGCGCCGGCUAACUACGU